UUCAUCAUCCCCAAAUAACACAAUUUCUUCACACCUCUUCCUCCAUCUUCAUCAAAAUAAUGUCAAUUUCAUAAUAUGUUACAUCUAUAGAAAUUUAAUUCGCAAGUUGCACUGACUUUGUUGCCCAAUCUAAUGCUAUGAAAAACAUGACAAAAUGAUUUCUAGCAGCGCACAAAUUAACAAGUUAAUUAGGAAAAACAAUGG
rnacentral:lncRNA from 1 species